rnacentral:rRNA from 1 species
ACAAGCGAAAAGCUUAAAACUCAAAAGACUUGGCGGUGUCCCACACCCGACUUAGAGGAGCCUGUCCUAUAAUCGAUAACCCACGAUAAACCUAACCCCCCUUUGCCAACCCGCCUAUAUACCGCCGUCGAAAAUCUACCUCACAAGAGAAAUACUGUAGAUUAAAUAGUGGUACACUAAAACGUCAGGUCAAGGUGUAGCUUAUAGGGUGGAUGAGAUGGGCUACAUUCUUUAAUCUAUAAAGAACACAGAAAGAGCUAUGAAACACCCCCUAAAGGAGGAUUUAACAGUAAAGUUGGCAAGAAUACCAACUUUAAGUUCGCUCUGGGACGCGC